rnacentral:lncRNA from 1 species
CCUCGUAAUUUACAUGGUACAAACUGAAACCAGUGCGCGCUCACAUCCGGACACCCUACAGAUCGAACGGUGUGGCACCGACGCCUCACUUGCCGGGCACGAAGUUGGUGGCGUAGGCCCAGGCGUUGUUGUUGACGGGGUCCGCGAGGUGGUCGGCGAGGUUCUCGAGCGGGCCCUUGCCGGUGACGAUGGCCUGGACGAAGAAGCCGAACAUGGAGAACAUGGCGAGGCGGCCGUUCUUGAGCUCCUUGACCUUGAGCUCGGCGAAGGCCUCGGGGUCGUCGGCGAGGCCGAGCGGGUCAAAGCUGCCGCCGGGGUAGAGCGGGUCGACGACCUCGCCGAGCGGGCCGCCGGCAAUGCGGUAGCCCUCGACGGCGCCCAUGAGCACGACCUGGCAGGCCCAGAUGGCGAGGAUGCUCUGCGCGUGGAUCAGGCUCGGGUUGCCGAGGUAGUCAAGGCCACCCUCGCUGAAGAUCUGGGAACCCGCCUUGAACCAGACGGCCUCGCCGAACUUGACGCCGUUGCGGGCGAGCAGCUCGGGGAAGACACAGCCGAGCGCGCCGAGCAUGGCCCAGCGGGAGUGGAUGACCUCCAGCUCGCGGUUCUUGGCGAAGGUCUCGGGGUCGGCCGAGAGCCCGGCGGUGUCCCAGCCGUAGUCGCCGGGGAACUCGCCGGUUAGGUAGCUCGGGGGCUCGCCGGAGAGCGGGCCGAGGUAGAGCACGCGGUCGGGGCCGUACCAUGGGCUGCCGGAGGCGGCCGGCUUGGGCUUCGCCGCGGUCUUGCGCAUGGUCACGCGGGCCUCGCCGAAGAGGGACGAUGGCACGUUGACAGCCUUGCCGACGAAGGCCGUGGAGGAGAGGGCCAUGGUGCUGGUCGCCAUUGCGCUGCUAUCACCG